rnacentral:rRNA from 1 species
UCCAGACUCCUACGGGAGGCAGCAGUGGGGAAUAUUGCACAAUGGGGGAACCCUGAUGCAGCGACGCCGCGUGGGUGAAGGAGUACUUCGGUACGUAAAGCCCUAUCAGCAGGAAAGAAAAUGACGGUACCUGACUAAGAAGCCCCGGCUAACUACGUGCCAGCAGCCGCGGUAAUACGUAGGGGGCAAGCGUUAUCCGGAUUUGCUGGGUGUAAAGGGAGCGUAGACGGCCAGACAAGUCUGAAGUGAAAAUCCAGCGCUUAACGUUGGAAGUGCUUUGGAAACUGCCGGGCUAGAGUGCAGGAGGGGCAGGCGGAAUUCCUAGUGUAGCGGUGAAAUGCGUAGAUAUUAGGAGGAACACCAGUGGCGAAGGCGGCCUGCUGGACUGCAACUGACGUUGAGGCUCGAAGGCGUGGGGAGCAAACAGGAUUAGAUACCCCUGUAC